rnacentral:tRNA from 1 species
GUCGCCAUCGUCUAGUCUGGUUCAGGACACCGGCCUUUCACGUCGGCAACAGGGGUUCAAAUCCCCUUGGCGACG